CUACGGGAGGCACCAGUGAGGAAUAUUGCACAAUGGGGGGAACCCUGAUGCAGCAACGCCGCGUGGAGGAUGACGCAUUUCGGUGUGUAAACUCCUUUUCUAUGUCAAGAAAAUGCCGGUAGCAUAUGAAUAAGCACCGGCUAACUCCGUGCCAGCAGCCGCGGUAAUACGUAGGGUGCAAGCGUUAAUAGGAAUCACUGGGCGUAAAGGACGCGUAGGCGGGUUGGAAAGUCAGGUGUGAAAUCCUACAGCUUAACUGUAGAACUGCACUUGAAACUUCUAAUCUAGAGUAUGGUGAGGGGGAGAUGGAAUUAGUGGUGUAGGGGUAAAAUCCGUAGAUAUCACUAGGAAUACCUAAAGCGAAGGCGAUCUCCCGGAACAUUACUGACGCUAAGGCGUGAAAGCGUGGGGAGCAAACAGGAUUAGAUACCCGGGUAGUC
rnacentral:rRNA from 1 species